CGCGUAGCGGUCCGCUAAGUUAGAUGUGAAAACUCUGGGCUCAACCCAGAGCCUGCAUCUAAUACUGACGGGCUAGAGUUCUGGAGGGGGUAGCGGAAUUCCUGGUGUAGCGGUGAAAUGCGUAGAUAUCAGGAGGAACACCGGUGGCGAAGGCGGCUACCUGGACAGAAACUGACGCUGAGGCGCGAAAGCUAGGGGAGCAAACA
rnacentral:rRNA from 1 species